rnacentral:rRNA from 1 species
AACGAACGCUGGCGGCAUGCCUAACACAUGCAAGUCGAACGCGUGUAGCAAUACACGAGUGGCGGACGGGUGAGUAACGCGUGGGAACCUGCCCAGUCGGUAGGGAAUAACUGCGGGAAAACUGCAGCUAAUACCCUAUACGCCCUUUGGGGGAAAGAUUCAUCGCCAUCGGAGGGGCCCGCGUCGGAUUAGCUAGUUGGCGGGUAACGCCACCAAGGCAACGAUCCGUAGCUGGUCNGAGAGGAUGAUCAGCCACACUGGGACUGAGAUAC